UACCAGGUCUUGACAUCCUCUGACAAUCCUAGAGAUAGGACGUCCCCUUCGGGGGCAGAGUGACAGGUGGUGCAUGGUUGUCGUCAGCUCGUGUCGUGAGAUGUUGGGUUAAGUCCCGCAACGAGCGCAACCCUUGAUCUUAGUUGCCAGCAUUCAGUUGGGCACUCUAAGGUGACUGCCGGUGACAAACCGGAAGAAGGUGGGGAUGACUUCAAAUCAUCAUGCCCCUUAUGACCUGGGCUACACACGUGCUACAAUGGGCAAAACAAAGGGCAGCGAAACCGCGAAGUUAAGCCAAUCCCACAAAUCUGUUCUCAUUUCCGAUCCCAAUCUGCAACUCGACUGCUUGAAACUGGAAUCCCUAAUAAUCCCGAUCACAUCCCGGUGAAUACUUCCCCGGCCUUGUACACACCGCCCGUCACACCACGAGAGUUUGUAACACCCGAAGUCGGUGAGGUAACCUUUAUGGAGCCAGCCGCCGAAGGUGGGACAGAUGAUUGGGGUGAAUUCGUAACAAGGUA
rnacentral:rRNA from 1 species